rnacentral:rRNA from 1 species
UACGUAGGGUGCAAGCGUUGUCCGGAAUUAUUGGGCGUAAAGAGCUCGUAGGCGGUUUGUCGCGUCUGCUGUGAAAACUCGGGGCUUAACCCCGGGCCUGCAGUGGGUACGGGCAGACUAGAGUGCGGUAGGGGAGACUGGAAUUCCUGGUGUAGCGGUGAAAUGCGCAGAUAUCAGGAGGAACACCGGUGGCGAAGGCGGGUCUCUGGGCCGAUACUGACGCUGAGGCGCGAAAGCGUGGGGAGCAAACAGG